rnacentral:rRNA from 1 species
UACGUAGGGCGCAAGCGUUAUCCGGAAUUAUUGGGCGUAAAGAGCUCGUAGGCGGCUUGUCGCGUCUGCCGUGAAAGUCCGGGGCUCAACUCCGGAUCUGCGGUGGGUACGGGCAGACUAGAGUGAUGUAGGGGAGACUGGAAUUCCUGGUGUAGCGGUGAAAUGCGCAGAUAUCAGGAGGAACACCGGUGGCGAAGGCGGAUCUCUGGGCCUGUCCUGACGCUGAGGCGCGAAAGCUAGGGGGAGCGAACAGG